rnacentral:rRNA from 1 species
UGAGGAAUAUUGCGCAAUGGAGGAAACUCUGACGCAGCAACGCCGCGUGAGUGAAGAAGGCUUUCGGGUUGUAAAGCUCUGUCAGGUGGGAAGAAACCUUUAUAGUUGAAUAGGCUAUAAAACUGACGGUACCACCAAAGGAAGCACCGGCUAACUCCGUGCCAGCAGCCGCGGUAAGACGGAGGGUGCAAGCGUUGUUCGGAAUCACUGGGCGUAAAGCGCGUGUAGGCGGCUUGACAAGUCGAAUGUGAAAGCCCGGGGCUCAACCUCGGAAGUGCAUUCGAAACUGUCAGGCUUGAGUACGGGAGAGGGAAGUGGAAUUCCUGGUGUAGAGGUGAAAUUCGUAGAGAUCGGGAGGAAUAUCAGUGGCGAAGGCGCCCAUCUGGACGGUAACUGACGCUGAGACGCGAAAGCGUGGGGAGCAAACA